UACGUAGGGUGCAAGCGUUGUCCGGAAUUAUUGGGCGUAAAGGGCGCGUAGGCGGUCGUGACAAGUCACUUGUGAAAUCUCCGGGCUUAACUCGGAACGGUCAAGUGAUACUGUCGGACUAGAGUACAGAAGGGGCAACUGGAAUUCUCGGUGUAGCGGUGAAAUGCGUAGAUAUCGAGAGGAACACCUGCGGCGAAGGCGGGUUGCUGGGCUGAUACUGACGCUGAGGCGCGAAAGCCAGGGGAGCGAACGGG
rnacentral:rRNA from 1 species